AGUGAGCGCUGGCGGUAGGCCUAACACAUGCAAGUCGAACGGCAGCACAGUAAGAGCUUGCUCUUACGGGUGGCGAGUGGCGGACGGGUGAGGAAUACAUCGGAAUCUACUUUUUCGUGGGGGAUAACGUAGGGAAACUUACGCUAAUACCGCAUACGACCUACGGGUGAAAGCAGGGGAUCUUCGGACCUUGCGCGAUUGAAUGAGCCGAUGUCGGAUUAGCUAGUUGGCGGGGUAAAGGCCCACCAAGGCGACGAUCCGUAGCUGGUCUGAGAGGAUGAUCAGCCACACUGGAACUGAGACACGGUCCAGACUCCUACGGGAGGCAGCAGUGGGGAAUAUUGGACAAUGGGCGCAAGCCUGAUCCAGCCAUACCGCGUGGGUGAAGAAGGCCUUCGGGUUGUAAAGCCCUUUUGUUGGGAAAGAAAAGCAGCAGGUUAAUACCCCGCUGUUCUGACGGUACCCAAAGAACAAGCACCGGCUAACUUCGUG
rnacentral:rRNA from 1 species